GCCAGACUCCUACGGGAGGCAGCAGUGGGGAAUAUUGCACAAUGGGGGAAACCCUGAUGCAGCGACGCCGCGUGAGCGAUGAAGUAUUUCGGUAUGUAAAGCUCUAUCAGCAGGGAAGAAGAUGACGGUACCUGACUAAGAAGCCCCGGCUAACUACGUGCCAGCAGCCGCGGUAAUACGUAGGGGGCAAGCGUUAUCCGGAUUUACUGGGUGUAAAGGGAGCGUAGACGGCGAUGCAAGCCAGAUGUGAAAGCCCGGGGCCCAACCCCGGGACUGCUCUUGGAACUGCGUGGCUGGAGUGCAGGAGGGGCAGGCGGAAUUCCUGGUGUAGCGGUGAAAUGCGUAGAUAUCAGGAGGAACACCGGUGGCGAAGGCGGCCUGCUGGACUGCAACUGACGUUGAGGCCCGAAAGCGUGGGGAGCAAACAGGAUUAGAUACCCCCGUAGA
rnacentral:rRNA from 1 species